ACACGAUUACAUUAGAUACCCCUGUAGUCCUAGCCGUAAACGAUACUCGCUAGGUGUCGGCCACGGUGCGACCGUUGUCGGUGCCGUAGGGAAGCCGUGAAGCGAGCCACCUGGGAAGUACGGCCGCAAGGCUGAAACUUAAAGGAAUUGGCGGGGGAGCACCACAACGGGUGGAGCUUGCGGUUUAAUUGGAUUCAACGCCGGAAAUCUUACCGGGACCGACAGCAACAUGAAGGCCAGGCUGAAGACUUUGCCGGAUUAGCUG
rnacentral:rRNA from 1 species